UACAACGACCCUAAUCAUUUGAAUCGGGUGUGUUGGAGAGAAGAAACACCUAAAACAUGCAGGGUAGGGGCCCGAGGACCAGAAUUGGUGACCCUCACUGUACAUCAACUUCGGCAAAUUAAAUUUUUAUUUGAAGAUGCAUGCUAAUCACUGUCAAAUAUUUGACUGGGGGGGUGGGCUGUUCUGUAUGUGCACGGGAGCAACCCUACAAGGCAUGCGAUACAAUUAUGCCACCUUCCUAAUUAGUGAACAACAUACCUCGAAUCAACGCUUUAAGAUGGCCUGGUGUGAUCUUUUUUGCAGUUGCAGCAUCAUUCAGUGAAGAUCGCAUGUUGCCUGCAGGUCAACAGAUGACAUCCAAAAAGGUAAUCAUUCAGAAAGAAUUUGAUUUCUUUGUGGUGUUUAAAGGAGAAUGUUGUACCGAGAUGAAAGUGCGCUGCUGCUCGAUUGGUGAGAAGAACAGUAUCCAGGUCUUGGUCACCACACUUAUUUUUCAAAGCUGCUGUGUAUGCCACUAUGGCUUUUUGGUAGUUCUUCUCCUUGAAGAA